ACACCACCAAAAAUAGAAAGUGACUGAUUUUGUACUUUGAAGGAAAAUGUUUGGUAUGUUGAAGUGUACCCAAUUAAAGAAGAGAUUAUGUUGAAGAUUUUUCUUUUAAUGUGUCCAGUAGUGUUCAAGCAACAUGUCUAAAGUGCAUGUUUGGUACGUAGUCCUACUCAUGCAAAAUGUCUUGUGUGGGAGCACAACAGAAUCACUAGGAUUGGUUAAGUUAUUAUCCGAACCCACUCAUCCAUCUGUACGCAUUAAUUCUGAGUCAUCAAUUAUGAAGCAUAAUGGAAAGUGAUUUUCAGAAAAGUUUUGCUAAACUUUUAUUACAAUUAAAACUCAAAACUUGGAGUUACCAGUCAUAUCUUUGAAACUUGAUCAGAAAUGCAGCUUCCACCAAAGCUCAAAUAUCUCAAGUGUCCAUCUAGUGAACUCUGUCAAUUUUUCAGUGCUGUCUUUGGAAAAAAGGAAAACCAUAACCCACUCUGGGGUCAGGUCCUCCACUAUGUGUGUGCUGGCAUAUCUAACCUUCAUGAUAUAACUUGCACCAAAAAAUACCCCCAGAUUUACACAAAUGCUUUUCAAAAACGUCCAUCAGGUUAGCACAAAUUCUUUAUAACAACCCCCCACUCCAGGUAAGAAGAAGAGAAAGGAUUCAACACUUUGCGAAAGACUGCAGCAAACUAAGGCAAUUCCAUAUGACCAUUAUGAAAAUGUAAAGCAAUCCCAUAUUAGCAAGACAAGGCACAUGAUACUAUUGCAAUUUUUUUUACAAUUCCUUCCAUACCUUCACUAAGGUAUUCAAUCUUAAAAUCCC
rnacentral:lncRNA from 1 species